GCCCUCAGUUGGGAUAGCGUUAGACUGAAGAUCUAAAGGUCUCUGGUUCGAAUCCGUGUUUCGCCA